AGUCCUAGCUCAGUGACAGAGCACCUGCUUUGCAUGCAGAAGGUCCCAGGUUCAACCUCCAGGUAGAACUG